CUUCCACCAUUUCAUAUCUGAAAACUAUGGCCUUUCACUUCCCCACAUAUGCCUGCAAAAACAGUGCCUUUCUACCCAUGCAUGUUUGUGAAAGCCAUGGAUCUGCAAAGCCAUGGCCCUUCAGCCAACCUGCAUGCAGUCUGCCAUGGUUCACAGAAUCACCCAAGGCAGCCUCUCUGCAGGAAGAAGCUUGGUCCUGGGCCAAGUGCUGCCUUUCACCCAUUCCACCCCAUUUUCCACUGCUUGUCACUGAUGCUGGUGCAGCAAGGGCUCUCAGGAAGGCAGGGAUGAUUACUGGUCAAACACUGCACACACAAAAGCUUGGUGUUUCUUCUGACCAGCAGUUGUGUGUGUGGGUGGGGUGGGUGGGUGGGGAGAUGGCUGCACACCAGCCUCUGACCACAAGUCCCAGACUGAGUCCUGCUCUGGGGCCACUGUCACACUCAUGUCCAGGUCCGUCCACUAUCAUGCUCAGUGUCCAGAUCCAUCCACUGUCACACUCAAGUGUCCAGGUCUGCCCAGUCCUGAGAGUGCUAUAAGCCCUACCUCCAUUUCACUCAGGAUGGGAUCCCUGACCCCAUCAAACCUCUCAUUCCCAAUCUGUAAGCACUGAGAAGCUGGUGCUAGUGGCUCAUGCUGUUAUCCUACCCAGAAGGCUGAGAUUUGAGGAUCACACUUCAAAGACA